GACCUGGAAAGAUGUUCUUCACAUAAUGGGAAAAAAACAAAAACAGCUUUUAAAUAUGACCAUAUGCUUCCAUUGUAUGAAAAAUAUCACAAUAGUUUCCAUCAUCCUAAGAAUGGUUACCUGUGGUGAGAUCAUAGAUAAUAGUUCUUAUUUAGCUUGUAGACCUAGGCUUCCACUGUUCCAUUUUACUAUAUUCUGUUUCCCUGAGAGUGCUGUUUCAGUUAUAUAGCAAGCGUACCUCUGGCCUUAGAUGAUCGUGAAUUCCAAGUUCCUAGCAAGAGAGAAAGAGAUUUCAUGUGCAAUGUGAAUAUACCAGUUGAAGUACAUUUCUCCCGAAGUCCACAGAUCCUGGUCCCUACAAAUAAGCCUGCUCAUGUGAGAUAAGAAAGGAGUUCCUGGAACCAGGAAUUCAUUCUCAGUGUAGAAGACCUAGCUGAGACCUCACUCCACAGUUUUGGGGCAGAAGCAGAAGAGACGCACAGUAGAACCGAUCUCAGCCUUGCUGAUCAUCUCGUACAGCAGCAGAAAAUGACCAUGUUACAGGUG
rnacentral:lncRNA from 1 species